ACCUGGCUGGCUUGGUUGGUAAAGCAUGUGACUCUUGGUCUUGGGUUGUGAGUUCGAGACCCAUGCUGGGUG
rnacentral:tRNA from 1 species